rnacentral:rRNA from 1 species
UUAAAUUGAAGAGUUUGAUCAUGGCUCAGAUUGAACGCUGGCGGCAGGCCUAACACAUGCAAGUCGAACGGUAACAGGAAACAGCUUGCUGUUUCGCUGACGAGUGGCGGACGGGUGAGUAAUGUCUGGGAAACUGCCUGAUGGAGGGGGAUAACUACUGGAAACGGUAGCUAAUACCGCAUAACGUCGCAAGACCAAAGAGGGGGACCUUCGGGCCUCUUGCCAUCGGAUGUGCCCAGAUGGGAUUAGCUUGUUGGUGGGGUAACGGCUCACCAAGGCGACGAUCCCUAGCUGGUCUGAGAGGAUGACCAGCCACACUGGAACUGAGACACGGUCCAGACUCCUACGGGAGGCAGCAGUGGGGAAUAUUGCACAAUGGGCGCAAGCCUGAUGCAGCCAUGCCGCGUGUAUGAAGAAGGCCUUCGGGUUGUAAAGUACUUUCAGCGGGGAGGAAGGGAGUAAAGUUAAUACCUUUGCUCAUUGACGUUACCCGCAGAAGAAGCACCGGCUAACUCCGUGCCAGCAGCCGCGGUAAUACGGAGGGUGCAAGCGUUAAUCGGAAUUACUGGGCGUAAAGCGCACGCAGGCGGUUUGUUAAGUCAGAUGUGAAAUCCCCGGGCUCAACCUGGGAACUGCAUCUGAUACUGGCAAACUUGAGUCUCGUAGAGGGGGGUAGAAUUCCAGGUGUAGCGGUGAAAUGCGUAGAGAUCUGGAGGAAUACCGGUGGCGAAGGCGGCCCCCUGGACGAAGACUGACGCUCAGGUGCGAAAGCGUGGGGAGCAAACAGGAUUAGAUACCCUGGUAGUCCACGCCGUAAACGAUGUCGACUUGGAGGUUGUGCCCUUGAGGCGUGGCUUCCGGAGCUAACGCGUUAAGUCGACCGCCUGGGGAGUACGGCCGCAAGGUUAAAACUCAAAUGAAUUGACGGGGGCCCGCACAAGCGGUGGAGCAUGUGGUUUAAUUCGAUGCAACGCGAAGAACCUUACCUGGUCUUGACAUCCACAGAACUUUCCAGAGAUGGAUUGGUGCCUUCGGGAACUGUGAGACAGGUGCUGCAUGGCUGUCGUCAGCUCGUGUUGUGAAAUGUUGGGUUAAGUCCCGCAACGAGCGCAACCCUUAUCCUUUGUUGCCAGCGGUCCGGCCGGGAACUCAAAGGAGACUGCCAGUGAUAAACUGGAGGAAGGUGGGGAUGACGUCAAGUCAUCAUGGCCCUUACGACCAGGGCUACACACGUGCUACAAUGGCGCAUACAAAGAGAAGCGACCUCGCGAGAGCAAGCGGACCUCAUAAAGUGCGUCGUAGUCCGGAUUGGAGUCUGCAACUCGACUCCAUGAAGUCGGAAUCGCUAGUAAUCGUGGAUCAGAAUGCCACGGUGAAUACGUUCCCGGGCCUUGUACACACCGCCCGUCACACCAUGGGAGUGGGUUGCAAAAGAAGUAGGUAGCUUAACCUUCGGGAGGGCGCUUACCACUUUGUGAUUCAUGACUGGGGUGAAGUCGUAACAAGGUAACCGUAGGGGAACCUGCGGUUGGAUCACCUCCUUACCUUAAAGAAGC